rnacentral:pre_miRNA from 1 species
AAACUACUCCCUCUGUCCGGAAAUACUUGUCCUAGAAAUGGGUCCAUUUCUAGGACAAGUAUUUCCGGACGGAGGGAGUACUAG